rnacentral:misc_RNA from 1 species
AAAGAACUGCAGCGUUCACUGGUUUACUCAAGGGACGCCGGCAGGCCGAUAUAGCAGGACCAAAGACCCCGCGCCUUCCCCGGUCAUCCCUAACCCCCCCCCCCACAAGCGAACGAACAAACGAGGUCAGCCGCUCUUCUGUUUUCCGAGUACUUUGCACGCAGGCACGAAGGCGGGUAGCUCCUGCACUUAUCCUCAGGCCAUUCACAUAAACCCUCAUUCCCCCGGCCCUUGCUCCACCGCUAUCUGCUCUCCUGGGUGCGCGCAUCUGUGUCGUUGGCUUGUCAUUCCUUCGCUGUCUCCCCCCUCUCUCUCGCCACGUCGCUGCAGAUGCUCGAGAAGGUGGUGCCGAUCCCAUUCUUGGGCAAAGAGGUGUCCGGCUGGCUCUACCGCACCACGCGGUGGACGCGCGAGCACCCGUACAGGGCGACCGCCAUCCUAGCCGCCUGCAUCGGUGGCUCCAUACUCUACGAAGCUCAGGUGACGCACAAGAAUCGCAUGCCGUCCCCCAACGUCAACAAUCACCUCGAGUAUCAGCUAAAGGAGGCGUCGCUGUGGGAGCGGUGGUUUCGCCGUGCCAGCACCACCCAGCAAGACAUGAAGGCUGAGGAAGUGGCGGCGCUCGAGAAUGCCGGUGACAUGCUUACGCCAGAGGAAAUAACGCGGCGGCAGCGGUUGUCGCAACGCACCAUCGCCGAUGCCGAGCGGCUGCUCGCGACAACCACGGACGCUGCAGAACGUCAGUCCUUGGAGAAGGUCAUUGAGCGCGAGAAGGAGUUGAUGAAGGGUGUCAACAACACCACAAUGCUGGUGCGCAGCGGCCAACUGGAAGUGCGUGCCCCACACUGGGAGAUUCGCAACAACGAGCGCAACUGGAGCAUCCUGUCGCGUGACCAGCAGCAGCAGAAGGACCACUACUGGUAUCGCCUCGAGCGCAGCCGCGAGGACGACUUUGCGCGCAACACCUACUCCACGCCCUAAGCGGGUCAUGCGAGGAGGGGGAGGGGGAGGUUGAUGUGUCUGCGUGCGUUCUUUGUGUGUGCCACCAUGAGGUUGCAUUUGAUGCGGCUGUGGCUGUGUGGUGGCAGCCUCCUUCCUGGCUGCUGCUUCACAGCGCGAUAACUCUACAAGC